rnacentral:antisense_RNA from 1 species
AGCUACAUCCGUCACCUGACACGGCCCUACCAGGAACAGCCGCGCUCCCGCGGAUUCUGGUGCUGCUCGCGUCCCCGCUCCCCUAUUCCCCUUAUUUUAUUCCUGGCUCCCCUCGUCGAAAGUCUUCCAUUCUUCAAACUAGAUUAUUUAAAAAUGAAAAAGGAAGAAAGGAAAGCGAGGUCAUCUCAUUGCUCUAUCCGCCAAUCAGGAGGCUGAAUGUCAGUUUUGAACUAAAAGCCGCUCCGCUCCUCUUCUAGAUUUGGAAAACAAGCGAAAUUAAACUAAACCGCUGCACGCCUCUGACGCGACAUCUGGACACGGCGCGGCGCUGGCGCUGCCGGAGCUGUCGACCCGGCCUGGCGCCGGACUAGUGUCCCUUUUGAUGAGAAGAAUAAGCCUCAUUCUGAUUCAACAGCAGAGAUCAAAGAAAAGACUUCUGUUUUCUGGCCACCAGAUAUAUGUUAUCUGUGCUUAAAGAAUUGAAAAACACACAUCAAAGGAGAAUUUUCUUGGAAAGAGAGGGUUCAAGCAUCACUGUUAGGUGUGCUGGAAUCCUUUCCCGAGUCAGUACUGCUUUCUAGAAGAAAACCGGGGAGAUCUAUUUGGAAUGUAUCUAACUCCAAAGAAACCAUCAGAGGUAACAGUAGAGACGGGGUUUCACCAUGUUGGCCAGACUGGUCUUGAACUCUCGACCUCGUGAUUCGCCCGCCUCGGCCUCCCAAAGUGCUGGGAUUACAGGUGUGAGACACCACACCCGGCGGAUAGAGAGAAUUUUGACAGAUAUGACACAUUCAUAAUUUAAACAGAAGCCUACGAAGAACUCAUAAAUUAAAAGAAGAUAAUCUUUUCACAAGGUGAUGGAGGCUUUUUAUUUUGCCACAAAACCACUGGUGACGUUGCCUGUGGCCACCUUGGAGAAGACACUGGAGACAGGGUCUCACUCUGUCACCCAGGCUGGAGUGUAUUGGCAUGAUUACAGCUCACUGCAACCUUGAACUCCCAGGCUCAAACCUGAGCAGCUGGGACUACAGAUGCACCACCAUGCAUGAUGAUUACGGAGCUAGGAAUUUCCUACGAAGCUGGGUGAUAAAAGGACAUUGGACAAAAACACAGAUAGCUUCAUUCUAUACCAGGAUCCAUCACUGAUUAGCUGUAUUAUAUUUGUCUCUACUGUAAUUUGAGGAGAAUGAUACCUGCUUCUCUAUCUUGUUGGGUUUUACAGAUGAUGUAUUGAAAGUUCAAUAAAAUCUAUAAACAAU